rnacentral:rRNA from 1 species
UCGCCUGUUUUCAAAAACAUCUUUUCUUGUUAGUUUUUGAAGUAUGGCCUGCCCACUGACUUUUUGUUGAAGGGCCGCGGUAUUUUGACCGUGCAAAGGUAGCAUAAUCAUUAGUUCUUUAAUUGUGAUCUGGUAUGAAUGGCUUGACGAGGCAUAUACUGUCUUAGAAGUAUUGUUUGUUGAAUUUAGUUUUUGAGUUAAAAUUCUUAGAUGUUUUUAUGGGACGAGAAGACCCUAUAGAGUUUAACAUUUAUUUUUAUUAUAAUUUGUUGUUUGUUUUUAUUUUUAAUUGGGUUAAGUGUUUUGUUGGGGUGAUGGGAGGAAUGUUUUUAACUCCUCUUUAUUUUUAUAUAUUGAUUUAUAUUUUUUGAUCCAUUAUUUUG